rnacentral:lncRNA from 1 species
AUUCAGUCUCAGCCUUUUCUGAAAACCUCCCCCUCCUCUAACAACCCCUCCCAGCAGCAGACAGGGGCACACAGACGAGCACACUCUCCAGCCAAACCCUAAUUGUGUGUGUGUCUGCACUUUCUUUUCCCCGACAUGAAGAAGAAAACCGAGUGAGUAUUUGUUCCCUCUGCCUGUAUGUAAUGGUCGUUCUGAAAGCUGAGUCGAUUUGCUUGACUGAAAAAGUGGAGGUGGCACAAUCUAAGGACAAAAAUAGGAGAGUUAAGUAGGUCACUAUGUGGCAUUGCUGGAUGAACUUCAUCUUGGCCUGGGUAUCCAUGGUAACCCCUGCACUCUGCCAGAGUGGAGAUGGUGAGUGGGGUUCAGGCAUUGACAUCUAUUCUCUGUUAAUGGCCACCAAUGACACAUUGCAGGCAGCUGGUGAUGAGCCUGCAAGGGUGAAAAACAACGACUGGACCACAUCAGCAGCAUUCUCGCCAUCGGCCUCGCCUACACUCCACUAUGAGCCCCAACCGGACAAGUGCUCGGUCCACUUCAGCACUAACACUGCCUCAGCUCGGAGGCUAAAGGCACAUAAAGAGGAAGUGGCCUAUCUGCAGGCCAUACAGCAUGGAAACAAGGCAGUGAUGGAGAACUUAGUGCAGUUUGUGGGGGCAGAGCUAGGAGAUCACAGCUAUGAGGAUGUAAUCAAGGAAAAUGUCCUUGGUAUCCAAGAGGAUCACAAGAGCUGUCAUGAGGUGGUGGAGAAAGCAGAAGAAGCUCUAGAAAAGCAGCUGGAGGGAGAUGUGCCAGAGGCCUCGUCUGGGAUGCAGAAAAUCAGAGAAGAGUCCUUGGCCUUUGAAGACAUGCUUCGUGCUGCAGCUGACAUCGCCAGCAGGUUGGAGAGCUCAUCACAGGCCCUGCAUGCGUCAUUCACCAAGCAGCUGAAAGACAUUGUCAAAAUCCAUCGCUAAAAAGUGCUGAAAACUGUUCACCGUUGAGCCCUCUGAAUAAAGUUUGGCUCCCUGUCUGACGCCUGAAAUGA